rnacentral:rRNA from 1 species
GAUGAACGCUGGCGGCGUGCUUAACACAUGCAAGUCGAACGGUGAACACGGAGCUUGCCCUGUGGGAUCAGUGGCGAACGGGUGAGUAACACGUGAGCAACCUGCCCCUGACUCUGGGAUAAGCGCUGGAAACGGCGUCUAAUACUGGAUAUGUGACGUGACCGCAUGGUCUGCGUUUGGAAAGAUUUUUCGGUUGGGGAUGGGCUCGCGGCCUAUCAGCUUGUUGGUGAGGUAAUGGCUCACCAAGGCGUCGACGGGUAGCCGGCCUGAGAGGGUGACCGGCCACACUGGGACUGAGACACGGCCCAGACUCCUACGGGAGGCAGCAGUGGGGAAUAUUGCACAAUGGGCGCAAGCCUGAUGCAGCAACGCCGCGUGAGGGAUGACGGCCUUCGGGUUGUAAACCUCUUUUAGCAGGGAAGAAGCGAAAGUGACGGUACCUGCAGAAAAAGCGCCGGCUAACUACGUG